rnacentral:rRNA from 1 species
UACGUAGGGUGCAAGCGUUGUCCGGAAUUAUUGGGCGUAAAGAGCUCGUAGGCGGUCUGUCACGUCGGCUGUGAAAACCCGAGGCUCAACCUCGGGCCUGCAGUCGAUACGGGCAAACUAGAGUACUGCGGGGGAGACUGGAAUUCCUGGUGUAGCGGUGAAAUGCGCAGAUAUCAGGAGGAACACCGGUGGCGAAGGCGGGUCUCUGGGCAGUAACUGACGCUGAGGAGCGAAAGCGUGGGGAGCGAACAGG